UACGUAGGUGGCUAGCGUUGUCCGGAUUUACUGGGCGUAAAGAGCGCGCAGGCGGUCGUUCAAGUCGAGUGUGAAAGCCCCCGGCUCAACUGGGGAGGGUCACUCGAUACUGAUCGACUCGAAGGCAGGAGAGGGAAGCGGAAUUCCCGGUGUAGUGGUGAAAUGCGUAGAUAUCGGGAGGAACACCAGUGGCGAAGGCGGCUCACUGGUCCGGAUCUGACGCUGAGGCGCGAAAGCGUGGGGAGCAAACAGG
rnacentral:rRNA from 1 species